rnacentral:rRNA from 1 species
GAUGAACGCUGGCGGCGUGCCUAAUACAUGCAAGUCGAGCGAACAGAUAAGGAGCUUGCUCCUUUGACGUUAGCGGCGGACGGGUGAGUAACACGUGGGUAACCUACCUAUAAGACUGGAAUAACUCCGGGAAACCGGGGCUAAUGCAGGAUAACAUGUUGAACCGCAUGGUUCUACAGUGAAAGGCGGCUUUGCUGUCACUUAUAGAUGGACCCGCGCCGUAUUAGCUAGUUGGUGAGGUAACGGCUCACCAAGGCAACGAUACGUAGCCGACCUGAGAGGGUGAUCGGCCACACUGGAACUGAGACACGGUCCAGACUCCUACGGGAGGCAGCAGUAGGGAAUCUUCCGCAAUGGGCGAAAGCCUGACGGAGCAACGCCGCGUGAGUGAUGAAGGUCUUCGGAUCGUAAAACUCUGUUAUUAGGGAAGAACAAAUGCGUAAGUAACUGUGCGCGUCUUGACGGUACCUAAUCAGAAAGCCACAGCUAACUACGUG